rnacentral:misc_RNA from 1 species
GAAAUGCGAUAAGUAGUGUGAAUUGCAGAAUUCAGUGAAUCAUCGAAUCUUUGAACGCACAUUGCGCCCCUUGGUAUUCCAUGGGGCAUGCCUGUUCGAGCGUCAUUUGUACCUUCAAGCUUUGCUUGGUGUUGGGUGUUUGUCUCGCCUCUGCGUGUAGACUCGCCUCAAAACAAUUGGCAGCCGGCGUAUUGAUUUCGGAGCGCAGUACAUCUCGCGCUUUGCUCUCAUAACGACGACGUCCAAAAGUACAUUUUUACACUCUUGACCUCGGAUCAGGUAGGGAUACCCGCUGAACUUAAGC